rnacentral:rRNA from 1 species
AGUGAACGCUGGCGGUAGGCCUAACACAUGCAAGUCGAACGGCAGCACAGUAAUUGCUUGCUCUUCCCGGUGGCGAGUGGCGGACGGGUGAGGAAUAUAUCGGAAUCUUCUUUUUCGUGGGGGAUAACGUAGGUGAACCUACGCUCAUAUCGCAUAUCACGUACCGUUGAGAGCAGGGGAACUUUUGGCCUUUUGCGAAUGAAUGAGCCGCUGUCGGAUUAGCUAGUUGGCGGGGUAAAGGCCCACCCGGUCGAGGAUCCGUAGCUGGUCUGAGUGGAUGAUCAGCGACACUGGAACUGGGACACGGUCCAGACGCCUACGGGAGGCAGCAGUGGGGAAUAUUGGGCAAUAGGCGCAAGCCUGAUCCAGCCAUACGGCGUCGGAGGAGAAGGCCUUCGGGUUGUAAAGACCUUUUGUUGGGAGAGAAAAGCAGCAGGUUGAUACGACGCUGUUGUGACGGUACCCAAAGAAGAAGCACCGGCUAACUACGUG